GUGGGGGUGGGAGUUUCACUUCCGCUCUGGGUCUUGAUGAUAGCACCCUUGCUGGGAGGUGUAGAAGCAUGUUGCUGUUGCUCCUUGCGUGGCCCCCACUGACACCAUGGGUGUUGGGGGCUUGUUCCUGCCCAGUGGGAAUGAACAUCCUGGCUCUCUACUUGGCCCUCUCUCACACCCCCUGACAGAGGCUCGGCCUCCUCAUUACAACCAGGUGACAAUGGAAGUCUAGGCUCCUCCCUUGGUCUUUGGUGUCAAAAGUAGAGACAGGCCACUGCUUUUUGUGUGGUAUUUGGCUGGAGUUGCUGGUUAUUGUCUAAAAUUUUAUGUCUGUUUUUCAGAGAAUAAAAUGGAAGAUUAGAGAAGAGAGAUUCUGUCUCAGGCCUUACAGCUUGGAAGAGUGGAGCUGGGCUGAUGGCAGCACCCAGCACCUGCACAGGUGCUUAGAAAAGGAAGAAAGAGUACAAACGUUAGCACACUACCAAAGGGGUGGAUCCAACACGAAACCUUGUGCAUGGUGGAGGGAAAAAGAAGGACACAAUGCUGACUGUGUGUGUAUGUGUGUGAGAGAGAGAGCACGAGCUGGUCAGCAGCAGGAGGCACAGGCCUGCUCGGACUCUUGGCCCCAGGGCCCUGCUCCUGGAUGCACGCAGCCUGGUGCUGCCCACACCCAACACUUCCAACCCAGCGCUUCCUCAGCCAAGGGAAAGGUGGGGGUGGGAAAGUGUCACUUCUCAUUUCCUUUCACCAGCUCAAGAAGAAACAGAGCUCGGUUUUCUGAGAGGCUCAUAAUUAAAUGAAUUAAAAUGUUUUCCUUCACGGUGACUUUGCCAACUCCCGUCCACCUCUCCCUGGCCCCGUUCCCAGCAAGCAGCAGAGCCUGGGAGGACGCAGAAUGACAUGCUGUGUGCCUCCAGAGCAAUUAGCUUGUGCAUCGUCAUUUUGGGGAGAGAUUUAUGGCUGGCUUUAGGAGCAUUCCAGCCCAGACCUCUGCGGCCCAGAUUCGUCUGCUGAGGAAGUUCCUGGAAGCGGAGCCUCAAUAUUAAUUCCAAUUACAGUCAGAUGAGAGCCCAUUCAUAAGGAUUGCCUUCGACAGGCUCCUCUCCCGAUGCUCUGGGCUGACCUUGAGCCACCAUCACUGCCGCCAGCCUCUGAGAGAGAGGAAACGGUGCUGGGCUCAGCCGUGGGCUUCCCGGCAAGCCGAGGAGGCAGGCCGUGGACUGCUGGACAUUGAGGGGGAGAGCAGAGGAAGCUGCAGAGGAGGAAUAUGAAGGCCGUGACAUCCCAGCAUCUUUAGUGAGGGGACUCUCCCCAGUACCCUCCCUAGAUUCUUCUGAAAAGGUGGCAAUGCAGAGGGCACUGCCCAUGGUCUGAGAUCUCCCAGGCCCUGGGGCCACCCUUUGCCCUGGUUUCUGAAAUAGACGCCCUAGUCUCAGAGCAGGGGCUCAAGUCCUUGAUGGACUAAGGAGGCACUGCAGCCACAGCUUCCAGAGGGUCCCAGGCGAGCUCUGGGGCCACAGCCUCCUGUCUGUUCAUCAGUGUCCGCUCAGCCAAGCUGUGCCCCUGAGGUGUCUUGGGUGAGCUGGGCUGUCAGCGACCAAUGCACACUCAUUAGCACGUCUGCAGAUGGAUGUUCCUCACGGCACAAGACCCCGAGGACUAAAUAUAAACCCAAGGAAGCAAUUACCCGAGUAUUGAUUAUGGAUUAGGCUAACAACAUUACUAAUUACAUCUAAAGAUGUGUAUCCACUGCACCAGCCUGUUAAUAGCCUGCAUGAGGUAUUAAGGCACUAAUUAGGA
rnacentral:lncRNA from 1 species